rnacentral:tRNA from 1 species
UCUAAUAUGGCAGAUUAGUGCAAUAGAUUUAAGACCUAUAAAUAAAGAAAUUCUUUUAUUAGAA